GAAGGAUCGGCUCUUCUGCUCAGUCAUCAAUCCUCGUGGCUGGCCAGAAACCAACCCACUGAAGAAAGGCUCGGAACGGAAUGGAGAAACCCCAUGCCUUCUAGCCUGGAGCCGGAAUUCAUCUCACCUGACCUGCCGCUUUUCCUUUAAAGGCCGCCCACGUGAUAGCACACAUGCGCACACUCCGGAGGAAAUUCACGCCGUCAGGGGAGCGAGUCAUUCUUGCCCCCCACUUUCCCUGGGGUUUCUGGCAUUCCUUUCCGGAAACCACAACCCCUCUGGAGACAUUCUCCUCAUCUA
rnacentral:lncRNA from 1 species